rnacentral:lncRNA from 1 species
UCUCCCAAGUGAGUGGUAUCCCAUCGUGCUCAUAUUUUUGUUCCAGUAUACGCCACCAGUUGUAUGCCUCGCCUUGUAGCAGAUAUGCUGUAUAGCGGAUCUUCUCUUCAUCGUGGCAUUCUUGCAUGGCGAAGGCCUUCUCCAUUUUCAUAAUCCAGUUAUCUGCUUCUAGUGGCUCGAUGGUCCCUUUGAAGGCUGGAGGAGCUAGCUUCUUAAAUUCGACGAUAUUGUUUCUCUGCAUCGGAUGUUCUCCAUGUACAGGUAUCGGUGGAAAUUGCUGACAUGGCUGUGCAUGUUGUUGUUGAAGUAACUG